rnacentral:lncRNA from 1 species
GGGUGUGCCCAGGGAUCUCGCUUAGCCGGCACUGCCUAUCAUGACAGGCAGUCUGUGGCAACAGAGGACUGCAAUGAGCCAUGGCUAAGGCACUGGGCUCCAAGGUCCCUCCUGUUUAUGAAAUAGCAGACUUCUGAGGACAGGCCUGCCUUGGACCAACACCCAUUAGAAGACUCAAAGAAGGGCUGGCUGAAGCACCAGUGUCAGUUUCCAUGAGACAAACUGGAGAGCAGAGCAGAUGGCAGUAGCAAGAAGAAAGGGAGAGGUCAGCCCAGGCUCUGAGUCCGGGAAGAGUCGCACCUCCUGAGAAGUAACCACCAUCCAGAAACUCCUGCAGGCCCAGGGCCUCAGGCCCCACGCCCACCAGGCGCACAUCGUGUUGGUCCAGGAUGCUCCGGAGGUUGCUGAGGUCCUGGGCGAUCCAGCGGCACACCAUGCAGCCGAAGCGUCGCAGACCGGCCACCACACAAGCUUUCUCCUGCCAUAGGCUCCGCAGCUCCACAGCCUACAGAAUGGAUCGGUCAGGGGACAUGGGCUCACCAACCCCCUAUGCCCGGCAGCCUCACAUGUCCCGCAGCGUGCUGCUCCAAGAUUCGCAGCUGACUGGUCCUCCUGAUGGUUCCUCUGUGGACCAUGAGCUGUACCCACGCCCAGUACGCGAACUCAUAGGACCCCUCAGGACCUCCACUCCAACCCAUGUGAGUUGCCAAGGCUCUGGGCCAGGUAUUAGGGGAGGCGUUCUCCGCCCUGCGCGAGCCAAAUCUCACCUCCCCAGUCACUGCAUGUUUCAAGACACACGCUCCUACGCGACCAAGGUCCACCACAUUCAUGGCCUCCUCCGUCCCUUUCUGCUCCACGGUCCCUUCUCGCAGCCUGGGGAGGCUCACUCUGUCCUGCGCAGCCUCUUCAGCCAGCCUAUGCCCCGCCCAUAAUCCCG